rnacentral:rRNA from 1 species
GUUCAAGCGACUAAGCGUACACGGUGACGCCCCGGCAGUCAGAGGCGAUGAAGGGCGCAAGUUAAUUCGCGAUAAGCGCCUGCAAGGUGAUAUGAACCGCGUUAUAACCUGAUACCCGAACAGAAACCCAGUGUGAUCUGGCCACACCAUCAUUAACUGAAUCCAUAGGUUAAUGAGGGCGAACCGGGGAACUGAAACAUCUAGUACCCCGGAGGAAAGAAAUCAACCGGAGACUCCCCAGUAGCGGCGGAAAGAAACGGCGGUUUCCAGAGCCUGAAUCAGCAUGUGUUAUGAAGUGUCUGGAAAGGCGCGCGCGAUACAGUAUUGCCCAGCCACAAAAGCGCAUGUGCCGUGAGCUCGAUGAGUAGGGCGGGACACGUGGUAUCCUUGUCUGGAAUAUGGGGACCAUCCUCCAAGGCUAAAUACUCCUGACUGACCGAUAGUGAACCAGCACCGUGAGGGAAAGGCGAAAAAGAACCCCGGCGAGGGGAGGAAAAGAACCUGAAACCGUGUACGCAAUAAGCAGUGGGAGCACAGGUUUACCUGUGUGACUGCGUACCUUUUGUAUAUACGGGUCAGCGACUUAUAUUUGCAGCAAGGUUAACCGAAUAGGAGCCGGAGGGAAAACCGAGUCUUAAUUGGGCGUUAGUUGCAGGGCGUAACUGAAACCCGGUGAUCCAGCCAAGGGCAGGUUGAAGGUUGGCAACACUAACUGGAGGACCGAACCGACUAAUGUUGAAAAUUAGCGGAUGACCUGUGGCUGGGGGUGAAAGGCCAAUCAAACCGAGAUAGUUAUUCUCCCGAAAGCUAUUUAGGUAGCGCCUCGUGAACUCAUUCCGGGGUAGAGCACUGUUUCGGCUAGGGGCCAUCCCGGCUUACCAACCCGAUGCAAACUGCGAAUACCGGAGAAUGCUUAUCACGGGAGACACACGGCGGUGCCAACGUCCGUCGUGAAGAGGGAAACAACCCAGACCGCCAGCUAAGGUCCCAAAGUCAUGGUUAAGUGGGAACGAUGUGGAAGGCCCAUAGACAGCCGUGAUGUUGGCUUAGGAAGCAGCCAUCAUUUAAAGAAAGCGUAAUAGCUCACUGGUCGAGUCGGCCUGCGCGGAGCAUACCGCUAAACUUACGCACCGAAGUUGCGGCAGCGACGCUUUUGCGUUGUUGGGUAGAGUUCUGUAAGCCUGUGAAGGUGGCCUCCAGAGGGCUGCUGGAGGUAUCAGAAGUGCGAAUGCUGACAUAAGUAACGAUAAAGCGGGUGAAAAGCCCGCCUGCCGGAAGACCAAGGGUUCCUGUCCAACGUUAAUCAAGUAGGGUGAGUCGACCCCAUAUGAGGCCGAAAGGCGUAAAUGAUGGGAAACGGGUUAAUAUUCGUACUUUGGUGUUACCGCGAAGGGACGGAGAAGGCUAUGUUGGCCGUGGGCGACGGUUGUCCCGGUUUAAGCGUGUAGGUGUGUGUUCCGUGCAAAUCCGGUUCACUUUAACACUGAGUAGCGUGAUGACGAGGCACUACGGUGUUGAAGCAACAAAUGCCCUGCUUCCGGUGAAAGCCUCAAGCAUCAGGUAACAUCAAAUCAAAAAUUCCCCAAACCGACACAGGUGGUCAGGUAGAGAAUACCAAGGCGCUUGAGAGAACUUCGGGUGAAGCGGAACUAAAGGUAAAAUGGUGCCAACUUCGGGAGAAGGCACGCUGACAUGUAGGUGAAGUGAUUUUACUCAUGGAGCUGAAGUCAGUCGAAGAUACCAAUGGCUGCAACUGUUUAUUAAAAACACAGCACUGUGCAAACACGAAAGUGGACGCAUACGACGCCUGCCCGGCGCCGGAAGUUGUUAAUUGAUGUAAUAGCGCAAGCGAAGCUCCUGACGAAGCCCCGGCAAACGGCGGCCGUAACUAUAACGGUCCUUAAGGUAGCGAAAUUCCUUGUCGGGCAAGUUCCCGACCCGCACGAAUGGCGUAAUGAUGGCCAGCUGUCUCCACCCGGAGCAUCCCAGUGAAAUUCGAACUCGCCGUGAAGAUGCAGUACCCGCGGCAAGACGGAAAAGACCCCGUGAACCUUUACUAUAGCUUGACACUGAACAUUGAGCCUGAUGUGUAGGAUAGGUGGAGGUUUGAAGUGUGGGACGCCAGUCUGCAUGGAGCCGACCUUUGAAAUACCACCCUUAAUGUUUGAUGUUCUAACGUGACCCGUGAUCCGGGCUGCGGACAAAGUUCGCGGGUAGUUUGAUUGGGGCGGUCUCCUCCUAAAGAGUAACGAUGAGCACGAAGGUUGGCUAACUCGUCGGACAUCAGGAGGUUAGUGCAAUGGCACAAGCCAGCUUGCAUCUGCGAGCGUGACGGCGCGAGCAGGUGCGAAAGCAGGUCAUAGUGAUCCGGUGGUUCUGAAUGGAAGGGCCAUCACCAACGGAUAAAGGUACCCGGGGAUAAUAGGCUGAUACCGCCCAAGAGUUCGCUAUCGACGGCGGUGUUUCACACCCGAUGUCGGCUCAUCACAUCCCGCUGAAGUAGGUCCCAAGGGUAUGGCUGUUCGCCAUUUAAAGUGGUACGCGGUUUAGAACGUCGUGAGACGUCUGGUCCCCUAUUCGCCGUGGGCGCUGGAGAACUGAGGCUCCUAAAGUACGAGAGGACCGAGUGGACGCAUCACUGGUGCUCGGGUUGUCGCGCCAAUGGCACCGCCCGGUAGCCAAAUGCGGAAGAGAUAAGUGCUGAAAGCAUCUAAGCACGAACUUGCCCCGAGAUGAGUUCUCCCGAGACUUAGAGUCUCCUGAAGGAACGUUGAAGACGACGACGUUGAUAGGCCGGGUGUGUAAGCGCAGCGAUGCGUUGUUUCAACCGGUACCAAUGAACCGUGAGGCUUAACCUU